UGGGGAAUCUUGGUCAAUGGGCGCAAGCCUGAACCAGCGACGCCGCGUGAGUGAUGAAGGCCUUCGGGUUGUAAAGCUCUGUGGGGAGGGACGAAAGAGCACGUUCUAACAGGACGUGUGUUGACGGUACCUCCUUAGCAAGCACCGGCUAACUCUGUGCCAGCAGCCGCGGUAAGACAGAGGGUGCAAACGUUGCUCGGAAUCACUGGGCGUAAAGGGCGUGUAGGCGGACUUGCAAGUCAGGCGUGAAAUCCCUGGGCUCAACCCAGGAAUUGCACUUGAAACUGCAAGCCUUGAGUGUCGGAGAGGAAAGUGGAAUUCCUGGUGUAGAGGUGAAAUUCGUAGAUAUCAGGAGGAACACCGGUGGCGAAGGCGGCUUUCUGGACGACAACUGACGCUGAGACGCGAAAGCGUGGGGAGCAAACAG
rnacentral:rRNA from 1 species